rnacentral:rRNA from 1 species
GUGACAGCCCCGUACACAAAAAUGCACAUGCUGUGAGCUCGAUGAGUAGGGCGGGACACGUGGUAUCCUGUCUGAAUAUGGGGGGACCAUCCUCCAAGGCUAAAUACUCCUGACUGACCGAUAGUGAACCAGUACCGUGAGGGAAAGGCGAAAAGAACCCCGGCGAGGGGAGUGAAAAAGAACCUGAAACCGUGUACGUACAAGCAGUGGGAGCACGCUUAGGCGUGUGACUGCGUACCUUUUGUAUAAUGGGUCAGCGACUUAUAUUCUGUAGCAAGGUUAACCGAAUAGGGGAGCCGAAGGGAAACCGAGUCUUAACUGGGCGUUAAGUUGCAGGGUAUAGACCCGAAACCCGGUGAUCUAGCCAUGGGCAGGUUGAAGGUUGGGUAACACUAACUGGAGGACCGAACCGACUAAUGUUGAAAAAUUAGCGGAUGACUUGUGGCUGGGGGUGAAAGGCCAAUCAAACCGGGAGAUAGCUGGUUCUCCCCGAAAGCUAUUUAGGUAGCGCCUCGUGAAUUCAUCUCCGGGGGUAGAGCACUGUUUCGGCAAGGGGGUCAUCCCGACUUACCAACCCGAUGCAAACUGCGAAUACCGGAGAAUGUUAUCACGGGAGACACACGGCGGGUGCUAACGUCCGUCGUGAAGAGGGAAACAACCCAGACCGCCAGCUAAGGUCCCAAAGUCAUGGUUAAGUGGGAAACGAUGUGGGAAGGCCCAGACAGCCAGGAUGUUGGCUUAGAAGCAGCCAUCAUUUAAAGAAAGCGUAAUAGCUCACUGGUCGAGUCGGCCUGCGCGGAAGAUGUAACGGGGCUAAACCAUGCACCGAAGCUGCGGCAGCGACGCUUAUGCGUUGUUGGGUAGGGGAGCGUUCUGUAAGCCUGCGAAGGUGUGCUGUGAGGCAUGCUGGAGGUAUCAGAAGUGCGAAUGCUGACAUAAGUAACGAUAAAGCGGGUGAAAAGCCCGCUCGCCGGAAGACCAAGGGUUCCUGUCCAACGUUAAUCGGGGCAGGGUGAGUCGACCCCUAAGGCGAGGCCGAAAGGCGUAGUCGAUGGGAAACAGGUUAAUAUUCCUGUACUUGGUGUUACUGCGAAGGGGGGACGGAGAAGGCUAUGUUGGCCGGGCGACGGUUGUCCCGGUUUAAGCGUGUAGGCUGGUUUUCCAGGCAAAUCCGGAAAAUCAAGGCUGAGGCGUGAUGACGAGGCACUACGGUGCUGAAGCAACAAAUGCCCUGCUUCCAGGAAAAGCCUCUAAGCAUCAGGUAACAUCAAAUCGUACCCCAAACCGACACAGGUGGUCAGGUAGAGAAUACCAAGGCGCUUGAGAGAACUCGGGUGAAGGAACUAGGCAAAAUGGUGCCGUAACUUCGGGAGAAGGCACGCUGAUAUGUAGGUGAAGUCCCUCGCGGAUGGAGCUGAAAUCAGUCGAAGAUACCAGCUGGCUGCAACUGUUUAUUAAAAACACAGCACUGUGCAAACACGAAAGUGGACGUAUACGGUGUGACGCCUGCCCGGUGCCGGAAGGUUAAUUGAUGGGGUCAGCGCAAGCGAAGCUCUUGAUCGAAGCCCCGGUAAACGGCGGCCGUAACUAUAACGGUCCUAAGGUAGCGAAAUUCCUUGUCGGGUAAGUUCCGACCUGCACGAAUGGCGUAAUGAUGGCCAGGCUGUCUCCACCCGAGACUCAGUGAAAUUGAACUCGCUGUGAAGAUGCAGUGUACCCGCGGCAAGACGGAAAGACCCCGUGAACCUUUACUAUAGCUUGACACUGAACAUUGAGCCUUGAUG